rnacentral:rRNA from 1 species
GACGAACGCUGGCGGCGUGCUUAACACAUGCAAGUCGAACGGAAAGGCCCUGCUUUUGUGGGGUGCUCGAGUGGCGAACGGGUGAGUAACACGUGAGUAACCUGCCCUUGACUUUGGGAUAACUUCAGGAAACUGGGGCUAAUACCGGAUAGGAGCUCCUGCUGCAUGGUGGGGGUUGGAAAGAUUCGGCGGUUGGGGAUGGGCUCGCGGCUUAUCAGCUUGUUGGUGGGGUAGUGGCUUACCAAGGCUUUGACGGGUAGCCGGCCUGAGAGGGUGACCGGCCACAUUGGGCCUGAGAUACGGCCCAGACUCCUACGGGAGGCAGCAGUGGGGAAUAUUGCACAAUGGGCGGAAGCCUGAUGCAGCAACGCCGCGUGCGGGAUGACGGCCUUCGGGUUGUAAACCGCUUUCGCCUGUGCCGAAGCGUGAGUGACGGUAAUGGGUAAAGAAGCACCGGCUAACUACGUG